GCGAUUCGCCCUUGGGGGUGCGCGGGCGCGAAAACUUUACAAUGCCGGCAACGGAUAUGAGGGAACCUCGAGUGCCACGUUACGAAUCUGGCUGUCAUGAUGCCUAAAAAGCAUUGCAUAACAGGGGCCGGGCAAGACCGGUGCCAGCCGCCGCGGUAACACCGGCGGCUCGAGUGGUAACCGUUAUUAUUGGGUCUAAAGGGUCUGUAUCCGGCCGGGUAAGUCUCUUGGGAAAUCUGGCAUCUUAACUGUCAGGCUUUCAGGAGAUACUGCCUGGCUCGAGGCCGGGAGAGGUGAGAGGUACUUCAGGGGUAGGGGUGAAAUCUUGUAAUCCUUGAAGGACCACCAGUGGCGAAGGCGUCUCACCAAAACGGACCUGACGGCAAGGGACGAAAGCUAGGGGCACGAACCGGAUUAUAUACCCGGGUAGUCCUAGCCGUAAACGAUACUCGCUAGGUGUCGGCCACGGUGCGACCGUGGUCGGUGCCGUAGGGAAGCCGUGAAGCGAGCCACCUGGGAAGUACGGCCGCAAGGCUGAAACUUAAAGGAAUUGGCGGGGGAGCAC
rnacentral:rRNA from 1 species